rnacentral:rRNA from 1 species
UACGGAGGGGGGCUAGCGUUUGUUCGGAAUUACUGGGCGUAAAGCGCACGUAGGCGGCUUUUGUAAGUUAGAGGUGAAAGCCCAGGGCUUAACCCUGGAAUUGCCUUUAAGACUGCAUCGCUAGAAUCGUGGAGAGGUGAGUGGAAUUCCGAGUGUAGAGGUGAAAUUCGUAGAUAUUCGGAAGAACACCAGUGGCGAAGGCGACUCACUGGACACGUAUUGACGCUGAGGUGCGAAAGCGUGGGGAGCAAACAGG